CAUCACGAAACCAACGUUAUGUAUUCCUAACGCACAAGUCACGUAGUUCUGCAGAAGGAAGAGGAUCACAAACACAUUCAAGUUAUAUUUCAUUGGGAUGGAAAGAAAACUUUGCUCAAAUCCACUGUACAUGGUCAACGGGAUGAGCAGCAACAAUCUGGGGUCUCUCAGGAGCUUGAAGGUGGCCAGAAAGGUGUCCCAAAAGGAUUUGUUGCCCUUAGUGCUGCGAAACUCUUUAGCCUCAUCUCGAUCUAUAUUGUCCAGGAACACCGCCACGAAAAUAAUGGCCAGAAGCCCCACACCUGAAUGGAGCAAGACACACUUAGUUAGCAGUGUUGGAAAGUGAGUGAUGUGUUUACCGAGUGACAGUGUCUCCCCACAUACAUCUCCUGUCAGCUCUGAGAAUUGAAUCUGCAACCUUUGAGUUACAGGUAAGACUCUUGAUCCAUUAGGUUACAAAUGCCCUAUAUAUAAAUGAAUAUUGAUGAAAACAGGAUGUAUUGUAAACAGGUAGUCUUUUACUUUGCAGAUCAUGAACAGUGGACCUGAAUGGUAUGAAUCAAAGGCCGAUGGAUGACAGAUGAAAA
rnacentral:lncRNA from 1 species